GUAGGUGGCAAGCGUUGUCCGGAAUUAUUGGGCGUAAAGCGCGCGCAGGCGGUUCUUUAAGUCUGAUGUGAAAGCCCACGGCUCAACCGUGGAGGGUCAUUGGAAACUGGAGAACUUGAGUACAGAAGAGGAAAGCGGAAUUCCACGUGUAGCGGUGAAAUGCGUAGAGAUGUGGAGGAACACCAGUGGCGAAGGCGGCUUUCUUGUCUGUAACUGACGCUGAGGCGCGAAAGCGUGGGGAGCAAACAGGAUUAGAUACCCUGGUAGUCCACGCCGUAAACGAUGAGUGCUAAGUGUUAGGGGGUUUCCGCCCCCCUUAGUGCUGCAGCUAACGCAUUAAUCACUCCGCCUUGGAGUACGGCCGCAAGGCUG
rnacentral:rRNA from 1 species